AUUGAACGCUGGCGGCAGGCCUAACACAUGCAAGUCGAGCGGAUGAAGGGAGCUUGCUCCUGGAUUCAGCGGCGGACGGGUGAGUAAUGCCUAGGAAUCUGCCUGGUAGUGGGGGAUAACGUCCGGAAACGGGCGCUAAUACCGCAUACGUCCUGAGGGAGAAAGUGGGGGAUCUUCGGACCUCACGCUAUCAGAUGAGCCUAGGUCGGAUUAGCUAGUUGGUGGGUUAAAGGCCUACCAAGGCGACGAUCCGUAACUGGUCUGAGAGGAUGAUCAGUCACACUGGAACUGAGACACGGUCCAGACUCCUACGGGAGGCAGCAGUGGGGAAUAUUGGACAAAGGGCGAAAGCCUGAUCCAGCCAUGCCGCGUGUGUGAAGAAGGUCUUCGGAUUGUAAAGCACUUUAAGUUGGGAGGAAGGGCAGUAAGUUAAUACCUUGCUGUUUUGACGUUACCAACAGAAUAAGCACCGGCUAACUUCGUG
rnacentral:rRNA from 1 species